rnacentral:ncRNA from 1 species
AAGAACAGCCAUGCACCACCAUGUUUGGACUUGGUAAGUUUCCCUAGGCAGCACAUCUGUUAAAAGAUAACACAGGUGUCCUAAGAUGAGCUCAAUGAGAAUAGAAAUCUCAUGUGGAACAAAAUGGUAAAAAUUUGUUUAAUUUUGAUCUUCAGUAUAGAAAGCAUGGCUUAUCAAUCCUUUUGAUUUUCAGAAAUUUUCAGAAAAGUUACCAUAGGGAUAAUUGGCUUGUGACAUUGCUUUUUGAUCCUUUGAUGUCAGCUCUUUCUAUCAUUGUGAAGCAAAAUUCACCAAAUGUUAAAUUAUUCACCCACCAAUAAAGAAUGUGAGUUGGGUUUAGACUGUCAUGAGACAGGUUAGUUUUACUCUACUAAUGCGUGGCGCCACAUUAAUAGUAUGAGAGGAACCAUUGAUUCGCAUCACUAGUCAUUGCACUUGGCUGAAAAGCUAGUGGCUACCAUGCAAGGGAUUAUAACCGAACGCCUAUAAGUCAGAAUCUGUGCUAGAAGUGGCUACCAUGUAGGGGAUUAUAACCAAACACCUUUAAGUCAGAAUCUGUGCUAAAAGUGGCACUAUCAACCUCCCUGGUUGUUCCCCAAUGUUGUAAGGGUGGCCCAGAGAACACAUGAAGUGAACUGGUUUCGGAUUGCAAUUCUGAACGAACAAGGAGAUAAAUCCUUUACAAACGACUUAAAUAAGGGAUGGGGUACUGUAAGCGGCAGAAUGGCCUUGCUACUACGAUCCGCUAAAGUUCAUCCCUCACUCCCAUCAAUUU